CUUGGUCAUUUAGAGGAAGUAAAAGUCGUAACAAGGUCUCCGUAGGUGAACCUGCGGAGGGAUCAUUAACGAAUGAUCAUCCUUGAUCUUCUACCCUCAAACCACUGUGAACAUGACAUGUGCUUCAGCGUCGAGRGGCGCUGCCUUUAUGCAUCGAGUCUUUAUAAUGUCUGUCUAAAAUCAAUGUCAAAACUUUCAACAAAGGAUCUCUUGGCUCUUGCAUCGAUGAAGAACGUAGCAAAGCGCGAAAUGUAGUGUGAAUUGCAGAACAUUGUGAAUCAUCGAAUCUUUGAACGCACAUUGCACCUCUUGUGAGAGAGGUAUGCCYGUCUGAGCGUCAUCAAAACCCAUAAAUCUCUGGAUUUGUGUUGGGCUCCGCAUCUGUGCGUUGCUUCAAAGUCAUGGUCUCUAACCUGCGGACGAGCUCCUCUUGGACCUGCCGCUGGUGUGACUCAUCUCUGAAUUUGACCUCAGAUCAGGUAGGAAGACCGCCUGAACUUAAGCAUAUCAAUAAGCGGAGGA
rnacentral:rRNA from 1 species